rnacentral:tRNA from 1 species
AACAAGACAGAAGAUAGUCAAUCUUACUGUCGUGCAUACCAAAAGCGGGUCUGCCGCCUUCGUUUCUCUUUCUUCGCGAAUGACUAACCUCCCUUUGGCUAAGCCCACAAGGCGUGCCUUGCCGGUGCAAUUGGUGCCAGCAGGGUACGGUUUAGGGCUUGUAGCUCAGUUGGUUAGAGCGCGCGCUUGAUAAGCGUGAGGUCGGAGGUUCAAGUCCUCCCAGGCCCACCACUUCGCAAUCCGCAAGGAUUGUCGGAUCUCCUCGAUACAAUCGAGACCACUAUCAGGGGCCGUAGCUCAGCUGGGAGAGCGCCUGCUUUGCAAGCAGGAUGUCGUCGGUUCGAUCCCGUCCGGCUCCACCAACCAUCUUCUUCGAAGAUGGGGCGUGUAGAGCAGAGAUGGUCGCCGUGGUCAGUCAUUCGAUAAUGAGUUUGCGUCGAGCCUCGUGCUCUGCGCCUGUUCUGUUUGACAUCGUAAAGAGAAGAUUUGUUCGAACUUCACGAGCCGCAAGGUUUGUGAUUUGUCGCAAGGGACGCUCAAUCCCUUGCAUAUGAUGGGUUUGCCUAACCGCGCCCUCGAACCGAUCUCGAGAAGCUGGUCUUUUUGUG